GGCUUCAAUAUUGAGUAUAAAGAUCGAUUGUGCAAAUAUUCAAACUACUGCAUUUCAUAAUCAUACAUUAUUGUCUCUCUAAUUGCAUACAUAACUCUGAGGGUCACUGGAUAAUAAGCAAAGACAAAGAAAUAUGGACAAUAUUAUUGUAGCUAACCAGUGUUAUCUAGCCUCGAAUAUGAUCAUAUGAGCAUAUAUAUCAUCAUCAAUGCAUAACGCAAAUACCACAUCUCACCCAAAAUCUCACACCAUACUUUCAAUCAAGAUUUACUCAAAUAAAAAAAAAAAAUCAGCAACUCACAAUAGUAGAGACAAAGCCGACAUAACUCUAUAGCAGUAGCAGUCAAGGCAGUCGAAAUGGAGUAGCAGCGGUGGAGACAAAGCAGCGACGAUGGUCGAGAUGGAGCAACAGCGGUAGCCCAAUAAAGCAGCAGCAGCAGCAGCAGCGGCAGAGACAGAGUACAACAACCGAUUUGGGCACAUAGAGAGAGAGCGUUGUGAGUAGAUCGCGAGAGAGAGUCGAAGAGAUAAAGCACACUGAGAGAGAGAGUAAGAGUUGUGAGUAGAUCAUGAGAGAAGUCGAAAAGAUAAGCCCGAAGAGAUUAGGAUAAAGAUAAAGUCACUAGAUUUUUU
rnacentral:lncRNA from 1 species